rnacentral:rRNA from 1 species
GGGUGCCUACGGGGCGCAGCAGUAGGGAAUUUUCGUCAAUGGGCGCAAGCCUGAACGAGCAAUGCCGCGUGAACGAGGAAGGUCUUCGGAUCGUAAAGUUCUGUUGAAGGGGAAAAAGAGCGGAGAGAGGAAAUGAACUCCGAUUGAUAUUACCCUUCGAGGAAGCCCCGGCUAACUACGUGCCAGCAGCCGCGGUAAUACGUAGGGGGCAAGCGUUAUCCGGAUUUACUGGGUGUAAAGGGAGCGUAGACGGCGCGGCAAGUCUGAAGUGAAAGGCAGGGGCUUAACC